UCCUCUCAAGGAAAAGCCCUGGACUGA
rnacentral:piRNA from 1 species